rnacentral:rRNA from 1 species
GAUGAACGCUGGCGGCGUGCCUAAUACAUGCAAGUCGAGCGAACAGACGAGAAGCUUGCUCCUCUGACGUUAGCGGCGGACGGGUGAGUAACACGUGGAUAACCUACCUAUAAGACUGGGAUAACUUCGGGAAACCGGAGCUAAUACCGGAUAAUAUAUUGAACCGCAUGGUUCAAUAGUGAAAGACGGUUUUGCUGUCACUUAUAGAUGGAUCCGCGCCGCAUUAGCUAGUUGGUAAGGUAACGGCUUACCAAGGCAACGAUGCAUAGCCGACCUGAGAGGGUGAUCGGCCACCAUGGAACUGAGACACGGUCCAGACUCCUACGGGAGGCAGCAGUAGGGAAUCUUCCGCAAUGGGCGAAAGCCUGACGGAGCAACGCCGCGUGAGUGAUGAAGGGUUUCGGAUCGUAAAACUCUGUUAUUAGGGAAGAACAAAUGUGUAAGUAACUAUGCACGUCUUGACGGUACCUAAUCAGAAAGCCACGGCUAACUACGUG